rnacentral:rRNA from 1 species
CGUAGGUGGAGCUGCGGAAGGAUCAUUGUCGAAACCUGCUAGAGCAGACAGACCCGCGGACACGUUUACAAACACCCCCGGGGGCGCGGGGCACGGCCUAAGAACCAGCGCCGCCCCCCACCAACUAACUCCGGCGCGGAUUGCGCCAAGGACCAUGAACAAUAGCUCGUCCCGCGUGCCCGGACCUCCGGCGCGCGGCGAUGGCGUGUCGUUACAUAACAAAACGACUCUCGGCAACGGAUAUCUCGGCUCUCGCAUCGAUGAAGAACGUAGCGAAAUGCGAUACUUGGUGUGAAUUGCAGAAUCCCGUGAACCAUCGAGUCUUUGAACGCAAGUUGCGCCCGAAAGCCUUAUGGCCGAGGGCACGUCUGCCUGGGCGUCACGCAUCGCGUCGCCCCCCACCCCCUCCGAGGGGCGAGGGGCGGAGAAUGGCCUCCCGUGAGCCUCGGCUCGUGGCCGGCCUAAACGAAGACCCCGUGGCCGCGAGAUGCCGCGACGAUUGGUGGUGUACUCCUGGCCCUGUGCCUCGAAGCAUCGCGUCGCGUCUCGCGUGGCCCUCGGGAGAUCARAGGACCCCCUAAACCGUUGCGACCCCAGGUCAGGCGGGACUACCCGCUGAGUU